UUAUGGCUCAGGAUGAACGCUGGCGGCGUGCUUAACACAUGCAAGUCGAACGAAGCGGCUUCUUGCUGCAAGAAAGCUGACUUAGUGGCGGACGGGUGAGUAACGCGUGGGUAACCUGCCUCAUACAGGGGGAUAACAGUUGGAAACGACUGCUAAGACCGCAUAACCCGCUAGUGUCGCAUGACACGGACGGAAAAAUAUUUAAUUUUAACGAGUUAAAAUUUGGUAUGAGAUGGGCCCGCGUCUGAUUAGCUAGUUGGUAAGGUAACGGCUUACCAAGGCGACGAUCAGUAGCCGACUUGAGAGAGUGAUCGGCCACAUUGGGACUGAGACACGGCCCAAACUCCUACGGGAGGCAGCAGUGGGGAAUAUUGGACAAUGGGGGAAACCCUGAUCCCAGCGACGCCGCGUGAGUGAAGAAGUAUUUCGGUAUGUAAAGCUCUAUCAGCAGGGAAGAUAACGACAGUACCUGACUAAGAAGCCCCGGCUAACUACGUGCCAGCAGCCGC
rnacentral:rRNA from 1 species